rnacentral:rRNA from 1 species
UACAGGGGGGGCAAGCGUUGUUCGGAAUUACUGGGCGUAAAGGGCUCGUAGGCGGCCAACUAAGUCACACGUGAAAUCCCCAGGCUUAACCUGGGAACUGCGUGUGAUACUGGAUGGCUUGAAUCCGGGAGAGGGAUGCGGAAUUCCAGGUGUAGCGGUGAAAUGCGUAGAUAUCUGGAGGAACACCGGUGGCGAAGGCGGCAUCCUGGACCGGCAUUGACGCUGAACAGCGAAAGCCAGGGG